rnacentral:rRNA from 1 species
AUUGCAUGCUGGCGGCAGGCCUAACACAUGCAAGUCGAGCGGAGCGGCGGACGGGUGAGUAAUGCCUAGGAAUCUGCCUGGUAGUGGGGGAUAACGUCCGGAAGCGGGCGCUAAUACCGCAUACUAUCAGAUGAGCCUAGGGCGGAUUAGCUAGUUGGUGGGGUAAAGGACUACCAAGGCGACGAUCCGUAACUGGUCUGAGAGGAUGAUCAGUCAAUCUGGAACUAUGACAGGUUCCAGACUCCUACAAGAGGGAGCAGUGGGUAAUAUUGGACAAGGGGCGAAAGCCUGAUCCAGCCAUGCCGCGUUUGUGAAGAAGGUCUUCGAAUUGUAAUGCACUUUAAGUGGGGAGGCGUUACCAACAGAAUAAGCACCCGCUAACUUCGUGCCAGCAGCCGCGGUAAUUC